ACUACAAAUCCCCUCCACUAACAGAUUAAAUUACAAAUCCCCCUCCACCAACAGGUAAAAAAAAAAAAACUACAAAUCCCCUCCACCAACAGGAAUAAAAACUACAAAUCCCCUCCACCAACAGAAAAAAAAAACUACAAAUCCCCUCUACUAACAGAUUAAAUUACAAAUCCCCCCUCCACCAACAGGUAAAAAAAACUGCAAAUACCCUCCACCAACAGGAAUAAAAACUACAAAUCCCCUCCACCAACAGGUACAAAAACUACAAAUCCCCUCCACUAACAGAUUAAAUUACAAAUCCCCCUCCACCAACAGGUAAAAAAACUACAAAUCUCCUCCACCAACAGAUAAAACUACAAAUCCCCUCCACCAACAGGUAAAAAAACUACAAAUCUCCUCCACCAACAGAUAAAACUACAAAUCCCUUCCACCAACAG